rnacentral:lncRNA from 1 species
AGAGGUCCUUCCGGGAGUCCAGCUGACACAGGUCUCGGCCAGGGCUCUACCUGCGCUCAGGAUUGGAAAAGCUGUGCGCAAUGAGAGGCGCGUUGGUUCUCCGCAACGGGGAGCAGAAACCGGCCUGGGUCAGCCAGUGGACUGGUUGGAAGCAGAGAACUGAAAGAAAACCAACACCCUAGUGAGGCCAAGGGAGAUUUUAAAGGCUGAAGCAGAAGGAUCUCAAGUUCAAGCCAGAUUCCUUAGGGAGCAUUUGCCUCCAUAAAAUAACCCUAACUGUUGUCAAGUGACAGUGAACUCCAGUGACCAUCAGACAAGGAGUGGUUGUACCAGCUUGCAAUCCGACCAGCAAAGGAAGAGCGUUCCUCCUUCACAUCCUCGCCAGCAUGUGCUGUCACUUGAGUUUUUGAUCUUAGCCAUUCUGAAGUUUUCCAGUUUCAUGAAGUCCCAUUUAUCAAUUCUUGAUCUUAGAGCCUGAGCCAUUGGAGUUCUGAUCAGGAAAUGUUCCCUUGUGCCAAGGAGUUCAAGGCUCUUUCCCACCUUUUCUUCUAUUGGAUUCAGUGUAUCUGGUUUUGUGUUGAGGUCCUUGAUCCACUUGUGUUGGGAGCCGCGCCCACAUUCGCCGUUACAAGAUGGCGCUGACAUCCUGUGUUCUAAGUGGUAAACAAAUAAUCUGCGCAUGUGCCAAGGGUUUUUAUGACUACUUGUGCUCUGCCUUCCCCGUGACGUCAACUCGGCCGAUGGGCUGCAGCCAAUCAGGGAGUGACACGUCCUAGGCGAAAUAUAACUCUCCUAAAAAAGGGACGGGGUUUCGUUUUCUCUCUCUCUUGCUUCUUGCACUCCUGCUCCUGAAGAUGUAAGCAAUAAAGUUUUGCCGCAGAA